GCCGAGGUCCUCUUCUAGGAUUGGUUGUCCACUCAUAACCAUAAGAUAAUUAAAACGGGGGGGGGCAGGGUAAAAAAAACCCCUUUUAUCAGCCAUAGGUUAAUGCAAGUGUUUAACAGAUGCUUCGCUAUUAAAAUAUUUCCCCCCAAUACUGAAGAAUCUUAAACCAGCAACCCUAACAGAGAUUGUGAAGAUUUUCAAAGUGGGGCACCUCGAUUUCUCGAAUCUGUGGUGUGGCGAAUAUCCGUGUUCCUCCUGCUUAACUAGCCUGUUUGAAGGCACAGUUCAUUCUCGAGCAAUUCGUCACCUCCUGGGGGUCUUCUCUUCCCGUCUACAGGAGAGUGUGACUUCAGAAAGAACUUCGGAUUGGCCAAGGCAGGUCUGAUUCUAUUUAUUCUAAAGACAGAGUUGGAGAUGGGCUACCAUUGGUGUUGAUUGAGAUGACAAGCAGUCACCUGAGCCCAUACAGCUGGGUUCACAGAUGUGGCUACUCUUGCUAGCCAGCUCGCACUGUGGAAAUUCUAGGGAACUGACUGCAGUCCUCAUGCUUGGAGUCAAACACUUUAACCACUGCACACGUUUAUGUAAUAGGAUUGACAUAUGAGAAUCAGAGAAAUGAAUGAAAGAUUAGAGUGGGAGAAAGUGCUUGCUGCCAAGCUUGAUGACCUAAAUUGAAUCCUGGAACCUACACGACAGAAAGAGAGAGCUGACUGCUGAAAGAUGUCCUCAGAUCUUCACAUAUGCACAGUGGCACCUAUCCAACCAUGCACAUAGUAUAUUAAAAAUUAUUUUUUAAAAAA
ensembl:processed_transcript AV026068 expressed sequence AV026068